ensembl:lncRNA
UGACAAUGGACUUUGAUGCUCAAGGAAAUAUUAGUUAUAGUGAAAACAAGGCUGGUGAUUUUCCAAGAUCAGAAAAUGGAGAGGAUCUCUGGGCUCUAGCAGAUGUCAGAACGAGCAUACAGUUGGCCCUCCAUAUCUGCGGGUUCCACAUCCACAGAUUCAACAAGCUGCAGAUAGAAAACAAUAGAAAAAAAUUCCAGAAAGUUCCAAAUGGCAAAAUUUGAAUGUGCCACACCCCAGCAACUAUUUAUGUAACAUUUACAUUGUACUCAGCACUAUAAAUAAUCUAGAGACAAUUUUGGUAUCCACAGGAGGUCCUGGAACCAACACUCCACAAAGGAUAAAGGAUGAUUAUAAUGAACACAUCAUCAGUCCUUGGAUUUUUCAUGGUCCCAAAAUAAAC